rnacentral:rRNA from 1 species
UACGUAGGUGGCAAGCGUUGUCCGGAUUUAUUGGGUUUAAAGGGUGCGUAGGCGGUCUUGUAAGUCAGUGGUGAAAUACGGCAGCUCAACUGUCGAGGUGCCAUUGAUACUGUAGGACUUGAGUACAGACGAGGUAGGCGGAAUUGACGGUGUAGCGGUGAAAUGCUUAGAUAUCGUCAAGAACACCGAUAGCGAAGGCAGCUUACUAGGCUGUAACUGACGCUGAGGCACGAAAGUGUGGGGAUCAAACAGG